rnacentral:rRNA from 1 species
AUGGAGUUGAUAAAUGCUAACCCUGUGAUUCAUGAGAAAAGAGAGAGGCGCGCCCGGCAGGCACCAGAAAACAUAGAUGAAAAUGCACCAGAGGCCAUAGACCAGCUUGAAAUAUUUGAUCAUAUUAGAGACAUAAAGGACCCAGAACAUCCAUACUCAUUGGAAGACCUUAAUGUGGUAAAUGAAGACUCGGUCGAAAUCAAUGAUGAACUUAGUCAUGUCAGGGUUACUUUCACCCCAACAGUGGAGCAUUGCAGUAUGGCCACUAUCAUUGGCCUUUGCUUACGUGUGAAGCUCAUGCGGAGUCUUCCACCUCGUUACAAGGUGGACAUACGGUUGACGCCUGGAUCACAUGCAACUGAAGCUGCCGUGAACAAGCAACUGAGCGACAAAGAACGUGUUGCGGCCGCGCUGGAGAAUUCAAACCUGCUGGACAUAGUCGAGGAGUGCCUGUCACCGACGCUCGGCUGA